CAUCCCAAAUUGUUCUGGAGUUCGUCCAGUAGGAAAGAACUGCUCGGUGUGCCAUUCCGACUUCACCAUCAAAAUCUACUGUCCAAUAAACAUCCAGAAAUUUGAGGCAGAGACGAAUGGACUGAAAAUUACCAACAUAUCUAAAGGGUGUGAAGAAGAGCAAAACACCAACCGUAGAUUCCACGGACCGACUACUGGUGCAAGCCAGAUUUCUGCACACACUGGAGUAAUAUGUGUUGCUCUUCUUUUCAUCUUGUCUGGGUGAUCUUAAACAGA